rnacentral:rRNA from 1 species
CAGGCCUAACACAUGCAAGUCGAGCGGUAGCACAGAGAGCUUGCUCUCGGGUGACGAGCGGCGGACGGGUGAGUAAUGUCUGGGAAACUGCCUGAUGGAGGGGGAUAACUACUGGAAACGGUAGCUAAUACCGCAUAACGUCGCAAGACCAAAGAGGGGGACCUUCGGGCCUCUUGCCAUCAGAUGUGCCCAGAUGGGAUUAGCUAGUAGGUGGGGUAACGGCUCACCUAGGCGACGAUCCCUAGCUGGUCUGAGAGGAUGACCAGCCACACUGGAACUGAGACACGGUCCAGACUCCUACGGGAGGCAGCAGUGGGGAAUAUUGCACAAUGGGCGCAAGCCUGAUGCAGCCAUGCCGCGUGUAUGAAGAAGGCCUUCGGGUUGUAAAGCACUUUCAGCGAGGAGGAAGGCAUUAAGGUUAAUAACCUUGGUGAUUGACGUUACUCGCAGAAGAAGCACCGGCUAACUCCGUGCCAGCAGCCGCGGUAAU